GUCUUUAUGUUAGUUAUAAUUUAUUAUAUGAUACAAAUAAUAUUAGAUAUUGUCAUAAUAUAAAACUUUGCUUACGAAUAUCAAUAUACAAGGUGGAUCUAAUCAUCGUUAGACCUGAGAUACAAGUAUAUAACUUCUAUUUGAAAGAACAUUCAAGGAUGACGUCUAACAACUUGACCGGAGUCCGGAACUAUAGAGAAAAACAAUUAAGUAUAAAUGGGUGUUAACGCAAUACAAAGUCAUGUGAAUUCAAUAUAUAUCGAAGAAGUCAAAGCUGUAGGAGAUUGUGGAACAAGAGCUAAGAAAAAUUGUGUGGAAAGAGUGGUUUCCAAUUUCCUCAUAAGAAUGGAAAAGUUUGCCUCGCAAAAAGCUUCGAAUGCACAAGACGUGGUAAGGGAAGCCACUAUGCAAGAGUAUGCAGAUGUCUUAAAGAAAACUCUAUUUCGAUCAUUAAUUCUAUUCAAAAAUUUGAACUGAAUAAAUUACCCAUCGAUGCAUUGGAUGUCCAUUGAAAUUACUUCAAAAAUAUAAUGGCUACAUAUGAGAGUGGUGCAAUUGUAUCUGUCGCUGGAUCAAGAGUUCAAAGUAAAUAUCGAUUUCAACCCAAUUAAAAGAGUGUCGUUUAGAAUAUAUCUUUAACCUAAA
rnacentral:lncRNA from 1 species